rnacentral:rRNA from 1 species
GAGACUCUGUGCGCGUGCAUAUCAAUAAGCGGAGGAAAAGAAACUAACAAGGAUUCCCUUAGUAACGGCGAGUGAAGCGGGAAGAGCUCAAAUUUGAAAUCUUCAAGGUUCUACCUUGACGAAUUGUAGUUUAUAGAAGUGUUUUCUGUUAGUAAAGUGGCAAAAGUUCUUUGGAAUAGGACAUCAUAGAGGGUGAGAAUCCCGUAUUUGGUCAUUCUUUCUAGCUUUGUGAUACACUUUCAACGAGUCGGAUUGUUUGGGAAUGCAAUCCAAAAUGGGUGGUAAAUUUCAUCUAAAGCUAAAUAUUGGCGAGAGACCGAUAGCGAACAAGUACCGUGAGGGAAAGAUGAAAAGAACUUUGAAAAGAGAGUUAAACAGUACGUGAAAUUGUCAAAAAGGGAAGCGUAUGACACCAGUGUUGUUUUUCCGAAAAUCAAUUACGAAUGUUUUAUUUUUGAGAAGUUAUGACUUCAUCGGCUUGCUUCUCUCUUUAUGAAACUUUCUUAAUGCACUUUUCGGUUAACAAGUCAACAUCAAUUUCCUUUUGUUGUAAAAGGGUAUGAGGAAGGUGGCUUUCUUUUCGGAGAAAGUGUUUAUAGCCUCGUACCUCUGCAAUCGGAGAGAUUGAGGUCUGCAGCGUAGAUCCUUCGGGGUUAGAUACAUUUGUGCUAAGUUAUAGCUUUUCAUAGACAACUUGUUGACUAUGUUUAGUCUUGUAGCUUACUCGCUUAUGCUAUUUUACCUACGCUUAGGAUGUUGAACUCUAUCACACACAG